AAAGUUGUAACAAGGUUUCCGUAGGUGAACCUGCGGAAGGAUCAUUAACAAAUCCUGCUGCAGUGCCCUUGGGUGCUGUAGUAUAUUAACUCGGUCCGGGUCGCGAGAUCCGGGCUGAUAAAUUAAUGUGUGUGUUAUGUUGACAAUGUGUGUGUGAUUAAUUAUUAGUAGACAACUUUUAACAAUGGAUCUCUAGGCUCUU
rnacentral:misc_RNA from 1 species